AAACAACUUUGAUCAUAAUAUCUUUAAGGAAGGAGACACUUUUAUAGAACAAUCGUCCCGGGGCAGGAGCACCACCACUUUUCCAGCAGUUCCAUCAUUUGACAGCAACUCCACUGUAGGCCGGCAUACAGAAGUAUUCUAUAGCAGAUAUUCAUUACAACAGAGUGUCUUAGCUGCUCCUGCCCCAGGCAUUACUGUGGGAUCAGCCGCGAUGAAAAGUGAGCUAGAUGAUGUCGAACGACUGAAUGAGAUUUCGCAGGAUGCAGAGAAGCUGGAUGAGCCGUGGACAAGAGAAAAAAAUGAUUUGAGUCACAGAAAGAAAUAUUUCAAAGA